rnacentral:rRNA from 1 species
GACGAACCGUGCGAACGUUGUUCGGAAUCACUGGGCUUAAAGGGCGCGUAGGCGGGCUGCCGCGUCCGGGGUGAAAUCCCACGGCUCAACCGUGGAACUGCCUCGGAUACGGGCGGUCUCGAGGGGGUAGGGCACGCGGAACUGUGGGUGGAGCGGUGAAAUGCGUUGAUAUCCACAGGAACUCCGGUGGCGAAGGCGGCGUGCUGGACCCCAUCUGACGCUGAGGCGCGAAAGCCAGGGGAGCAAACGGG